rnacentral:tRNA from 1 species
GCGCCCUUAGCUCAGCUGGAUAGAGUACCUGGCUACGAACCAGGCGGUCGGAGGUUCGAAUCCUCCAGAGCGCGCCA